rfam:Picea glauca, whole genome shotgun sequence.
AGAUGCCUACAACAUAGUGUUAAUGCACGAGAUCCCAUUAGAACUCUGUAGUUAAGUGCGCUCAGGCUAGAGUAGUACUGGGUUGGGUGAUCGCUCGAGAAGUCCUAGUGUUUCACAUGCC